rnacentral:rRNA from 1 species
CCUACGGGAGGCAGCAGUGAGGAAUAUUGGUCAAUGGGCGCGAGCCUGAACCAGCCAAGUAGCGUGAAGGAUGACUGCCCUACGGGUUGUAAACUUCUUUUAUAAAGGAAUAAAGUGAGGCACGUGUGCCUUUUUGUAUGUACUUUAUGAAUAAGGAUCGGCUAACUCCGUGCCAGCAGCCGCGGUAAUACGGAGGGUCCGAGCGUUAUCCGGAUUUAUUGGGGGUAAAGGGAGCGUAGAUGGGUUGUUAAGUCAGUUGUGAAAGCUUGUGGCUUAACCAUAGAACUGCAAUUGAAACUGGCAGUCUUGAGUACAGGUGAGGUAGGUGGAAUUCGUGGUGUAGCGGUAAAAUCCGUAGAGAUCAAGAAGAACACCGAUUGCGAAGGCAGCCUACUAGACCAUCACUGACACUGAUGCUCGAAAGCGUGGGGAGCAAACAGGAUUAGAUACCCCAGUAGUC